CUGUGAUUUUCUGUGUAGUGUUUUAAAGACUUUAAUAUCUCUUUUAAUCCCAUUUUUUGUUUGUCAUGGUAUUGUCAGUUAGUCUUUGACUUUUGAGUUGGACUAUCAUUCUUGAAUAUUCUGCUUCUUUCCUAAAAAUGUUUUGAUAUUUUACCGCUGAUAUCAUAUCUGAUUUCGUUUGUUUAAAUUCGUUGGUAGGGGUUUGUUCCCAUUGGGUAGUAAAUAUCCAAAUAAGCAAAGGUCCUCAAUUAUAUGUUGCAUUGCAAUAUAAGAUGUAAUAUAUUCGAUGGUAUGAAUUAGCACAGUUAACAAUGUAAUAUGUGUAAUACUUAGCAUUCAUUUAACCACUGCCUUUAAAGACAUAGUAUAUUUAAUAGCUGACUAUGCGGUAUGGGCUUUGCUCAUUGUCGAAGGCCGUACGAUGACCUAUUGUGUUAAUUUCUGUGUCAUUUUGGUCUCUUGGCGAGGGUUGUCUCAUUGGCAGUCAUACCACAUCUUUUUUUCUUUUCUUUUUUUUUUUAUAUAUAUCCAUAUAAUUUUAAGCAUUCACAUACAUAUAGCAACCAGUGAUUAUCAAUAAUAUGAACCUUUUAUUUUUCGAUUCCCUUAGUCAACCAAUUUUGACUUGAAAAGGACCAUUUCGAUAUUGUAAGUCCUUAAAAGACCGAAAGUAAUGUCGUCAUACAUGUAUUCUAUCUUUCAGUAAAUUUUACCUUUAUUAGUGGCUGAGUCUGAAAAUUGACACAUUGUUUGCUAUAUAUUACAUACAUGACUUUUUAUUCUGAUGUAUACAAUGUAUAUAUUUACAUUUUGUAUGAUUUUCAUGAUGAAGGCCUCAGGGAAGACUAGUUAUAUAGCUAACUGUGUAACACUCUUAAAAUAAAGUUUUGUUGUUGUUGUUGUUGUUUGCAAAAUAGUACAUGUUCAUUAAUCAUAAUUUAUAGAUGAUGUUAACAUCAAAAUAAUCAUUACAAAGAUUUAACCUAUUUUCAAGUGAGUUACCGUAAGAAACAAACAGUUAAGUCACGGAAAUCAGGUAGCUCUACCGAUAACAUGUCGAAACAACGAUGAGAAAAAA
rnacentral:lncRNA from 1 species